UGAGCAAUUGAAAGAAUGGUCUGUAGAUGGAAUAGAAUCACUUUUUGGGUUUUCUACUGUCGAUGAAGAAGAUUUAGACGAAGAGGAUUUUUUGAUCAAAAUGGAGGAAGUACAGAAGCAUAUGAGGGAGGCAUAUGCACGAUGUUGGUAUCUAGUCCGUCUUGAAGGAAAUAGAAGCUACAUGCCUUGGAUGAAGCGACACAUAAUGUUCACAAAACAGAGAGGCUUACCACAUUCACAAGGAUUUGGGAAGCUUUGGUUCAGUCCACAGG